ACCCCGGCGCGCGCCCGGCACACAGUAGGCGCGCGGCCCCGCCCCCCGGCGCGCGCCCGGCACACAGUAGGCGCGCGGGCGGCGGGCGGAAGGGGGCGCUGGCGCGCGGUAUCCGGGGGCGGAGCCGGCGCGGCCGGCCAGGCGGACGGGCGCGGGCCUCGGGGCCGCGAUGGGCGAGGGUGGGCUGCCCCCGGCCUUCCAGCUGCUGCUGCGCGCCUGCGACCAGGGCGACACGGAGACGGCGCGGCGGCUGCUGGAGCCGGGGGCGGCGGAGCCGGCGGAGCGUGGCGCGGAGCCCGAAGCGGGCGCAGAGCCGGCGGGGGCCGAGGCGGCCGGGCCCGGGGCGGCGGCGGCGGCGGCCGGAGCGCCCGUGCCUGUGGACUGCUCAGACGAGGCGGGCAACACGGCGCUGCAGUUCGCCGCGGCCGGGGGCCACGAGCCGCUGGUGCGCUUCUUGUUGCGCCGCGGCGCCUCGGUCAACAGCCGCAACCACUACGGCUGGAGCGCGCUCAUGCAGGCAGCCAGAUUUGGGCACGUGAGCGUGACACACCUCCUUUUGGAUCAUGGAGCUGAUAUCAAUGCCCAGAACCGUCUAGGGGCCAGCGUGCUCACUGUGGCCUCUCGGGGUGGCCACCUGGGUGUGGUGAAGCUGCUUCUGGAAGCUGGUGCCUUUGUGGACCAUCACAGCUCCUCAGGCGAGCAGUCAGGGGACAGCAGGGAUGAGCUGUUGGACAUCACAGCCCUGAUGGCUGCCAUCCAGCAUGGGCAUGAGGCUGUGGUGCGUCUGCUGAUGGAGUGGGGCGCGGACCCCAACCACGUGGCCCGAACCGUGGGCUGGAGCCCACUGAUGCUGUCAGCACUCACUGGGAGGCUCGGCAUGGCUCAGCAGCUGGUGGAGAAGGGGGCCAACCCUGACUACCUCAGCGUGUUAGAGAAGACUGCCUUCGAGGUUGCACUUGACUGCAAGCACAGGGACCUUGCAGACUACCUGGACCCACUGACCACUGUCAGGCCCAAGACAGAUGAGGAGAAAAGGCGGCCUGAUAUUUUCCACGCGUUGAAAAUGGGAAACUUCCAGCUGGUCAAAGAGAUCGCAGACGAAGACCCUAACUAUGUGAACUUGGUCAAUGGGGAUGGGGCAACCCCGCUGAUGCUGGCGGCCGUCACGGGGCAGCUGCCUCUGGUGCAGCUGCUGGUGGAGAGGCGCGCUGACAUCGACAAGCAAGACAGCGUGCAUGGCUGGACAGCCCUCAUGCAGGCCACCUACCAUGGGAAUAAGGAAGUUGUCAAAUACCUGCUAAACCAAGGAGCUGAUGUCACUCUUCGUGCAAAAAACGGGUACACGGCCUUUGACCUAGUGAUGCUGCUGAGUGACCCUGACACGGAACUUGUUCGACUGCUGGCAUCUGUCUGCAUGCAGGUGAAUAAAGACAAAGGCCGGCCCAGCCACCCACCACCUCUGCCCCACUCGAAGGUCCGACAGCCUUGGAGUGUCCCAGUGCUGCCCGAUGACAAAGGCGGGCUCAAGUCCUGGUGGAACCGAAUGUCCAAUCGGUUCCGGAAGCUCAAACUGAUGCAGACCCUGCCCCGCAGGCUCUCCAGCAACCAGCCAUUGCCUUUCUGUGAUGAACCAGACUCAGCGCUGGACUCCACAAUGAGGGCGGCCCCCCAGGACAAGACAAGCCGCUUGGGGCUUCAUGAUGUAGCCCCCACAGUGAAAGAUAAUGGUCCCGGGAGCAUGAGAGGAGACAAAGAAGAUGUGUUAUUGACAACCAUGCUUCGAAAUGGAGCCCCCUUCCCCAGACUCCCGAGUGACAAGCUGAAGGCAGUCAUCCCCCCUUUCUUACCCCCUUCCAGUUUUGAGCUGUGGAGCUCGGACCGGUCCCGGACAUGUCACAGUGGGAAGGCAGAACCCAUGAAGACUGUGCUGCCCCAGAGAGCUGGCCGGGGUGCCCCCGUGGGCAUGGGCGGUGGGAGCACAGAUGCUACUCCUGUCAGGCCGGUUAAAUUUCCAUCUCUCUCCAGAAGCCCCGCCUCUCCUGCCAAUUCCGGAAACUUCAACCACUCACCUCAUUCCUCAGGCGGCUCCAGUGGGGUCGGGGGCUCCAGCAGGCAUGGUGGGGAGCUGCAUAACCGCUCAGGUGGCAGCAUAGACAGUGUCCUGUCACAAAUUGCUGCCCAGAGGAAAAAGGCAGCCGGAUUAUCUGAGCAGAAGGCCAGCCACCGGUCAAGUCCUGUUGGGCCAGCGCCAGGGUCCGGCUCAUCUGAGCUCCCAGUCUCUCCUGCAGGCAGCGGCGGUCCCAGUGGCAAGCAGAAACUGGAGACGAGCAAACGGCCUUUGUCUGGAACUUCCACUACCUCCAAAAGCACCUCCCCCACACUCACGCCCUCCCCUUCGCCCAAAGGGCACGCGGCCGAGUCCUCUGUGUCCUCCUCGCCCCAUCGGCAGUCCAAGAGCAGUGGGGGCUCCAGCAGCGGCACCAUCACAGAUGAAGAUGAACUGACUGGAAUCCUUAAGAAAUUAUCACUUGAGAAGUAUCAGCCCAUUUUUGAGGAGCAAGAGGUGGAUAUGGAAGCAUUCCUCACGCUUACCGAUGGCGACUUGAAGGAGCUGGGUAUUAAGACAGAUGGGUCCAGGCAGCAGAUUUUGGCAGCAAUUUCUGAACUGAAUGCAGGCAAGGAGAAAGAAGAGGGGAGCUCAUCACCUGGCUGGUUUUCCAUCCCUCUCCUGUCAGUCUGCUCAUCUCCACCUUGUCAUCAGUGUGAAAGGUCCGUGACCACCCUGGGGUCUUCGACACUCCCAUGUGCACAGGUACACCCAGUUUUCUGUCCCCUUCAUCAGAGGGUAGAGAUGGGUGGAGGGUCUCUGGCCAGCGUCUCCAGAGCCUAUUACAGAAAACCCUCAUGAAUGAGGCAGACCACCCCUGUCCCUCGUCCUGGCUCUAGGGAAGCAAGCCCCUUUGGAAGGCGGGGACCUUCUCCAGGCGCCAGGUCACCUCAUCUGCUCCAGGCUGCUUGCCCCUUCUCCGGCUCUCAUUUCUUUUCCCCAAGGGUCUCAGAGCUUCUCUGCUUCACGUGCUCACAGCUCUUUCAGUUGAAUAAUUGUGUCUACUUUCCUCACAAUCAGAAACACUCCCUUUGAGUCGCAGAUGGGUGUUUUCAGAAGCCCUUCUGCGUUGGCAUGGACACCCACUGGAUGAAGGACUUCUUCAGCUGUUGAGUUGAUGCCUCCGAGGGACCCAGGCCCGUGAGCUCCCACUUAUCCCACUGCAGCACCCACCAGCCCUGCGCCCCAACCUCCCUCUGCCCAGUCCCACAUGCCCCUGCCCUGCCACCAGGGGUCCUCCCAAGACAGCCCCUAAACCACACACCACAGGCUAAUCUCCACUCAGAGUCUGCUCCCAGACUGCGAGCAGGGACUUUAUAAAUGGGGGAGGCCUUGUGUGUGUGGAGGGGAACCUCAGCCACGAAGAAGGAUGUCAGCACUGUCACUGCCGCUUCUGUAGGUUGGCUUCAUCUGUGAGGUGACCUCAGGGCAAACUGAUUUUAAUAACUUCUCACAAGGGACAGUGAUUAAGAACCUGAAUCAGAAUCCUCUGAGAGAAUGCCCCCCCAGGGCAGCUGGGGCCACAGGCUGGGGUGGGGGAUGGGGGGGGUAGUGUGGGUGGUGGGAGUCUUAGGUAAGCAAAGCUCUGUUUCCUCCUUGUUGGAAUGAGAGCUGACACGCUCCCUCGGCAGACACUGAUGGAACACCGUCACAGGCACCGGGGAUGCACUGAGGGGGGCAAAGCAAAGUCGCCGCCUUCGCGGAGUUUAUGAUCCACGAGGGGUGAUAAAAAUCCUGGCUCUCAGGGCACUGUGAGGAUUAACUGAGCUGUUCCAAGUCAAGUGCUCAGCACAGUGCCUGGCACAGGGUGAGUGCUCAAGGGGCAGCAGCCACUUGUAAGUGUUCAUCUUUCUUUCUGUUCCUUGGGGGUCAGGGUGCAGGGAGCCUUGCAGCAGCCACAGUGCGGGGAAUAUUGUGCUCCUGCCACAUGAACGUACCCUGAGCGGUUAGCUGUCAGAGGAGCUGGCUUAGGGACCUGCAACAAGGGCCUGGGAUGCACCCAACCAAAUGAAUUGCAGGCAUGAAUGGAAAACAUUUGUUUAUUGCCAAGCAGUGAACUUAGUGCACAUAAUUGAGUUUACGAUCUGCAAUUACAUAAGGAAGAAUACAGAACAAAGAAUUGGACACAAAAGCACAAGGUGCAGACUGUGUUCUUUAGACCUGUGUAAUAGCUCUACUUUGAUCCACGUUCUACCGUGUGCUUGUAUAUGGAUCACUGAGCAUUCCUAGGUCACCUUGCCUUUUUUAAUUUAAGUUUAUUUUUCUUUUUAAAGAACUGCAUAAGUCAUUAUCAAUGAGUAUAUUCUGAUGUGCAAGAUGUGACACAUUUACAGUUUUACAUCCUCUAUUGAGAGCCCUAAGAUCGGGUAUAGCUUUCACCAGAGCUCUGGGGGGGUUCCAGGAUACAGAGCCCUGGGCCUGGGGGGCCUGGGGAGUCCUUCUCCUGAUGGAAAUCUCCCACCUUGGAAAACUCUCCAGAUGGGCUCCUGCUGAUGCUCCCAGUGAACUCUCCAAACUUCCUGAGUUUUUGGGCUUAUAACUGGAGGCCUAUGGCCAUGGCUGUCUAUAUGGUUGACUGGUAGUAACACUUGGAUGGUGUUUUCUUGGAAGCUACAGCCUUGCUACUCAAAGUCUGGUCCUUGGACCAGUAGGCUUGACAUCCUUUGGAUGCUGGUGAGAAAUUCAGGUGUGCCCCACAUUACUGAGCCCAAACCUGAUCUUCACAAGGCCCCCCAGGGGAUGUGUGCACGUGCUGUAGUGUGAGAGAGGGCGCUCUCCAAGUACCCUUCCAUGCAUUAAUUUCGUGCACAACAUUUGCAUGAACGCUGAGACGCUGUCAUCUUUUACACAGAGAGGGAAACUGGCUCCAACAAGCAAAAUGAUCCGCCCAAGGUCACAUGAUGUUUAGAGUAGAACCCAGGCUUCUCACACCUACUGAAUCCAGCUCUUUGGCAGCUUCCCAGGUGUGAUCUGAAAUGGGCCCUGUAUGUGGAGGGCAGGGAGAGGAAGGAAGGAAGAGGAAGAGGCAGACCCCUCCAGAUGGGCGGUGUUUUCCAGGUUCCUUGUCCGCUGGCUCCACUAAGAGGCACUGACAGGAAGUUGGAGGACAGAAGGGAGAAACCAGGGUAUCUCUCGUCCUCUCCUCAGCCGCAGGUGGCAUCUCCAAGCAGCAGCUGUGCCUCCUUCCAAGGGACCAGGACUGGCGAGUUAUGACUCCAGAUUUACCAGAUAACCCCUCCCCUCUCUGGUCCUCCUAUAGCACUUCUGCACUGUUGCUAAUUUCUGGCUGCUUCACUGUCCCCAUGUAGCUUCUCAGCCUUUCCAUUCUCCAAGUAACCAAUUCCCUGCAUGCAAGUCCCUGUGUUUUAAACACUCAAGCUGAUUCUGUUGCCUGGUUAGACUGAUUCACAUCCCAGGAUCCGCGCAGUCCCAAAUCCUAGGUAUGCACUUUAGAGCCACUCCCCUGCAGGUGCACAAGGAGAGAUGUCUGAGAAUGUCUGUCUACAGUGUUUGUGAAAACGGAGAGGUGGAGGGGGCGUGGCCACCCCUUGCCAGAGGGACAGAUAUUGUACAAGGUUCGGGACACAGAAACUGGAAGUAGAGGUCUAGAACGGAGGAGCCUGCAGGAACACGCAGCCACCCAAUGCCAGAAUGAGUCACAGUCCACUCAAGAGGCUUCCCGCAGUGCACUUGGAGCGGGUAUGAGCAGAUGAAGAAAGGAAUGAAGAACUUUCUCACCUCUGGGCCUAUGACAGAGGCACACCAGACGUAUUGGUGGAGAAUGACCAGCAAACAGAAAUAGUGGGGUGAGCAGAAUUACAAGGGAAAGGAGAGAUGAGGAGAAUUUCAGGGAGCACCUAGGUGCAUUCAGUGAGCCCAUGGAGUGCCUGUGAGGGCAGGGCGGGAAACUGUGGAUGGGAUCCAGGCAGAGCAACUAAGCAUCCUUUGGGAGAUGAGUGAAAGGGAGUGCAGAGAGCGGGGGAUACAACCGAGUCUGGGAGUCCUGAGAGGCUAAAAGGGUGAGGUCAGUAACAUGGAAUUUGGGUGUUGACCCUCAGUGGCUUUCUAGAAGUCCUGGUUUUACAAAUGCUGUGUGAUCACACAGAGAAGAGAGGGAUGGAUGGUCCCUAGGCGUGGAUGUGGGUUCACCACCAACCAGCCCAGCCACACUCACCCGUAAUCGUGGCUACUAAUCUGGAUGCCCUUAACAGUCUGGAACAUGGGGACAUAAUCACGAGUGAAAUGUUUUGGCCCUGUUCACAGGCCCCUGCGUUAAACUGCUGGUCAGCAGGCUCAGGGAGAUCUGGCUUGCUGUUCAUCUGAAACAGCACAACAAGUCCACAGAGAGCAAACCUGGGGCUCUUAGAGGACCAGAGUGUGAUGUGGCUGCCGGCAAAAUGCGGGUGGCCCCAGACUGCAAGGACAGCAGCCCAGAGGCCUGAACACAGAGGGAUGCUCCUGUUAUUCUGUGUGCUUCUUGGUCCAUAUGGAGGGCUUGUGGUCAGUUCUGGACAUCACUCAAAGAAAACCAUGAGCAGACUAGUGGCCAGGGAAAGUUGAGGAACCUGGAGACAUCCCUCUGAGGAAGAGGUGACUUGGUUGGGGGUGGUACGCAGCAUUACUUGUGAGCUGUCUUUGGUGAAGGACACCAUGGAUGAGGGAGAGACUCCAGCAGCAGACUGGGAUCCAGAGUGAAUGCCACAGCAAGGCUGACUUUGGUGGAGCACACAACCGCCAUCGACCGAAUAACAGCAUGGGAGCCUCAGGAAGCACUGAUCUUGCCACUGAUCUGCUGGUAUUAUUACUAUAAUUGUUAUUAGUUGCAUGCCUAACAAGAGCUAAGUACUGUGUUAAGUACCUUCCAUGCACGUAUGCAUUAUCUUACUAAGGGAGUUAAUGAUAUGAAAAGUGCUCAGAACAGCGCCUGGCACACGUGAGUACUCGAAGUACAUUCGCUGUUGUAAUUAUUUAAUCUUCACAAUAAACUUGCUGUGAAAGAGGAAUUGUUUAUUCUCACUUCACAGACAAGGAAACUGAAGGUCAGGAGAGUGAGUGACUCCCCCACAGUUGCACCACUAAUGACUGGUAAGCCAGACUUUGAGCCCAGGACUACCUGCUUCCUAAAGUUUGAUGAGUGGUUAGACCAGAAACUUUCCCGUCUGGCCAAGGUUCUGUUCCUAAACUGUACCUCUUGUUCAUUGAUAACCCCCUUUGUAAAGGAUCUUAUUGUUUGUGAAACCUGUAAAUGAGGGGGGCUUUUGGCCCCCUCGCCAGUCUGUGUCCUUUUGGAGAUGCUCAGUUAUGACUAAACUGCCUGCCUACGUCUGCUCGGGGCUUGUCCAGCCUAUAUGGAACAAGCCGAUAUGUCCGUCCUUCCUCUGUUGUCAAACCGACAAAGAACACGGGUGGAAGGAGUGGCUCUGGGCUCUUCUGGUCGACCCCAGGUUCGGCCUCAACUCCAGAAGGGUUUAGUCAUAGACUCUCCCCAGGCCAGAUGCUCUCCCCUGACACCUCAGGAGGAGGGCCAGCUUCAUCUCUGUUUUGGUGAGGGACCCUGGCCAAGUCAUUUUACAUUUUCCUGAUGUUGAGCCUCAGGGGCAUUCUUUAGUUCUUUAAGACUAUUAACUUCUCAGUCAUAGAAGGGCAUCUUCAAGGAGAGGCAUGUGGAGUAGAGAAAUGUGCAGGAGUUUGGGGUCAGACAGACCGGGUUUGGGCUCUGUCACUGUCUCUGCCAAGUAUCAUUAAGCAUGGUAUUUAAUCCAUCUGGACUUUAGUCUUGUAAUUUGUGAAACUGGGAUCCUAACACCUAUUUUUCAGACAGUUGUGAAGAUUAAGAUGAUGCAUACCAAGGUGUCUGGCACAGAGUAGGUAGGUGUUUAAUAAAUGGCAGCUAUUAUUAUUACUCGAACUGUGUCACCAGACCACAUUUGAUGCCUGAAACCCAAUUUUACGGUUUAAAAAACAUGCCUUGUGAGAAGAGAAAAGCGACUUAGAUUCAUUCAGCUAAUCUUUUUUGGAGCCAUCAUUCAUAACUUAUCCAUUAAAAAAAAGAACUGAAAACAAACAAUGUAUUUAAACAAAAAACCAGCUGAGCUACUUGGUUGAAAGAAGCACUUCAAUGUAAACACGAAUAGGAAAUACGUGGGGGAAAGAGAAGAAAUACAUGAGAGAUGUUUGUAAGAUGGCUUAUGGUUUUGGGGGGUUUUUGGUUUUGUUUGAAGAAAAAAGUACAAGAACUCCCUGCUGUUGGAGCAAGAGCAGAGGCAGACAUGGAUGAUGGGAUCGAUUGGGAACAGGGUGUUGGAAACUGGAGCCAGUCCCUGGGAGGAGACAGCUGCCACAUGGCAGAUCCCUGCCGCUGGCACCGGCGUGGCAAGGGGUGUCCAGCCCUGCCUGGAAAAAGGACAGACAGCAGGGGGAAGCCUGGUUAUCCUCCCAGGGUCGGGAUCCUGCUCAAAGACAGCCAGAUGGACCCUGGAGUCCCCAACAUCCUCUGAAAGAGAAUGGGCAUCAUCUUUCAAAGCAGCCCCAGCCUCUAAGCCAGGGUUUGGAUACUGGCUUCUGGUUCUUGUGUGCAGGGAGAGGGCGUGGGAGAAAGUAUUGCUAAGAUGAGAAUUUAAGCCACACAGACCUGGGCUGACGCUUUCUUAAGUCUUUACUGAGUCCCUUGUAAGGUAGAUGAGCC